rnacentral:rRNA from 1 species
AUUUUGACUGUGCAAAGGUAGCAUAAUCAUUAGUCUUUUAAUUGGAGACUGGUAUGAAUGGUUUAACGAAGUAUUAACUGUCUCAUUUUAAUAAAUUGAAUUUAACUUUUGAGUCAAAAGGCUUAAAUGAAGUUAAAGGACGAGAAGACCCUAUAGAGCUUUAUAAAUUGAAUAUUAAAUUGGAUUUAGAAGUUUUAUUUAAUUUGAAUAGAAAAUUUAUUUUAUUGGGGUGAUAUGAAGAUUUAAUAAACUCUUUAUAGUAAUUAAACACUAAUGAGUGAAUAAUUGAUCCAUUUUUAGUGAUUAUAAGAUUAAGUUACCUUAGGGAUAACAGCGUAAUGUUUUUUGAGAGUUCUUAUCAACAAAAAAGAUUGCGACCUCGAUGUUGGAUUAAGGAAAAAGUUGGG